AGAGAGCUGGGUGCGAUUAGGAGAGCGGAGAAGGGAGAGGGUGGCCAGGUCCCUAGGCAGUUAAAGAUCCAAGUCUCUUCGGUCAGGUCUGUCCAAGGUCCCAGAGGCUUUGGGGGAUCGGGUGACUGUGCGGAGUGUAAAAGACAUUUCUUUAGGAAACAGACAAGGCAGGGCCAGGAGUUCCGCGGUUUUUUUUUUUUCUGUGCAGAAAUCGCUACCCGGCGACGGCUCAGAGCGGUAGAGGGAAAGUCUUAUCUGCCAAGGCGGGAUUAGAUCCGCCCGCCGAGGGUCCUAGUAGCCCCCCGCCCAGCAAGGGCCGUGCGCGCGCCAGGGAACUUUGGAGCGACGAGUAGUUUCGCGUCGUACGCGGUGUCUGGUCUCCACGCAUCACGUGCGCCCGCGGCCCUUGGCGGGGACUUUAGUGCUAGCGAUCCGACAGAGCAGCCAGGACUCGGUUUUGCGAUGCCCUAACCUGGGCAUUUAUGCUGGGGGCGGAACGAAGUCGCCCAACCCAAGUUCUCCCUGCACCCUGAGAAGGAAAUGUGGUGCGCCCACUGGGGCGUGAGGCCGGCCGCCACGGCCCAUUCUACACACCUACUGGCAUUCCGCUUUUCCUUACUGUGUGCCAGGGGAAGGCAUAAUUCAAUUAUAUCAUCCAACUGCAGCGCACCCUUUUCCUCUUUUGCUUUGAGGGGAAUUUUCCAAUUCCCAAACAAAUACCUAUGGCUCUAAAGCCGAGUUGAGUUCUGUAGUAACUACCCGGGGUGACAAAAAAAAAAAAAAAAAGACCCCAAAUUGGCUGUGAGUUUACAGCCUGAAGCAGCUUAUUUAGGCUCGCUGAGCGCCGUUCCAAACGGCAGGACUCACGCUAUUUCGGGAGAAGUUGGAGGGUGGAGAGAAAACAAGGUUAUUUAAAGUGACUCCCAGAACGCAGCUUUCAUUCCUUGACUCUUUAGGUGUCAGUGCCUCGGCUCCGUUUUAGCACGGCACAGGCAGCCCAGCCUUUGAUAUUUAAGCCAGGCCAGCCCCCGGGUGAAACUACCUGUUGGGGGAUUCCGCUGCCUAGAGCCCUUCUUCUUCUGCGCAAUACUGGCAGCAGUGGGAUGGCUCUGGGGGUGGCGUGAGAAGGGAGAGGGCGGAAGAGCCGGGAGCAGCGGACAGUCAGUUGCAUGUGGCAGUGCCUAGCGAAGCUGCUCCCGCGCCUCUACUCGCUCUUUGAAAACUGGAAACAGCCCCCUGUGCUCUGUGCUGGGCCCCUGGCUGCAGAGAUGGGCCCAAACUCGGCACGAUUCUCUAAGUUCGGAAACCACGAAGCUUGCGCCUUCAUGCGUGUCUAACAUUAAAAAACAAAAAGCCUCCUGGCGGCUUCCUGGGCUCCCGCCCCCACCUUGCGCUCCAACACCCGGCACUUUUCCCUGUACCAAAAUUCACUUUACUACUUCUUGAAAUUCGGAAAACUCCACCGACGCUUGGACUCGCUGCAACCCAGGGGCUGCCUAAAGCUCUCGCACGAGUUGCUUGAGGGAAAUCACUCUGCUCUUGCGAGCAAACAGAUCUCUGUAUUUUUAAACAAUCUAACUGAAUGGGGGAGCGAAGCUAGCGAGGACAAUUUGAGCAGUCUUUGUGCCUGUUGGGAGAAUUUUUGGAAGCUAGCGGGGUGGGGGUUUCGUGUCUCGCAAGAACCUGUGGGAAGGACAGUUCAGGCCGGGCCCUGGGGCUGGAAGGCUCAUUUGAGGAGAACAUAGCCCAAGACUGGCACGUAUUUAACAACCUUCUUUAGGGCAAACUGCAACGGAGCCCGCCCGACAUUAAAUUUAGGGGGUGUGGAGGCGUAGACUGGGCUUAACCGGGAAAUUUUCCCCGAGACGCCAAAGGCACUCCGCGUCGUUUCCCAUGCGGGUUUCUGCGUUUUGAUAGGGAACCCCACUCCGUUUUGGGAGCAGCAAAAUUUUGAAGAGCCCCAAAGCGGGGCUCGUUUGGGGUCCAAAGGGAAGAAAGGACUUGAUCUGUGGCUGGGGAACAGCGGCACUUUAUUUCCUGGGGCAUGCGCUCACAUCCCCUACGGCCACAAAGCACCCGGCUGAAAACGAAAUGUCGGCAAAUAUGAGGUCUGCAGGACACACCAAAGAACUCCUCCAAGUCACACAAGGGAGAAAAUUAACUUCGUUGGCUUCUAUCAGGAAAGCUAUUUUUUUCCUCUUCCUUCCUGCAAGUUUCCCAAACCCCAUGACUCUGAUUUCCAGGAUAAAGGCGGAAGGAAUUUGACACAGACACACCAAAGAGACAUAAAGAUAAGAUGAGGAGGCAAUGGCCACACAGGCAGAGAUUGCAGUGAUGUGGCCAAAAACCAAGGAAUACCUGGAGGCACCAGAAGCUGGAUGAGACAGAAACAAAAUCUCCCCCAGAGCUUCCAGAGGUAGCAUGAUCCUCCUGACACCUUGACUUUGGACUGGUGGCCUCCAUACAUGUGAGAGAAUAAAUUUCUGUUGUUUUAAGCCACCGGUUUUUGGUAAUUUGUUAUGGGAGCCACAGGAAACUAUUAAUAAUACACCAGCUCACCACUGCAGCACUAGUGUAUGGUUCAGGGAUGGGCAUGUGGUACAAGCUAGGGCAAUGAGAACUCAGCUUCUAUCGUAAAACAAACCCUCUCCUUGGCCCUGGGGUUGCUGAGUGGUUCCACCUUUGCUACUAUACAUACCAAUGAAUGGAAGCAGCACAGAAGGUAGUAAAGUUUAGAUUUAAAGAGAGACAUUUCUGUCAACAUUGUUUAAGAAACUGGAUCUACUCUACCACUGGAUUUUUAAAUAUUACAUAUUAUAUGAGAAAAUUAAUUGUUCUCUUUUUAAGCCAAAUUCCUAACCAAUAUAGAGAUGUUAAUUUUUGGAGAACUUUUAAAAUUGCUCAUCUGCACAGAGAGCAUUUUAAAUAUAUAUGGUUGUUAUCACUUGAUCAGCUACUAUUUAAAUGAGGUAUAACUUAGAAAGACAAUCAGGAAAAUAUGUACCAAACAGUGAACAAUUUAAGACCUACCUGAAUUCAAUCAUGUUCAUUUGUGCUACAAACACUUAUAUUAAGCCCAACCCUUAUCUAAAGCAUUUGAUUCAGGACAGAUAUCCAUCUAUUUAAGAACUUACAAUUUAUUUGCCAGUAAAGGAAUUUGGUAUAGCCCACAUAUUGAGGUCACUAGCAGUAUUAACUUUUCAUUAUAUAGUCUAUAAUUUUCUGAAUAGUUCUAAAUUCAAGUAAUUUUAUUAUUUUUCCUAAACAGAAUUUGGUUAAUGCACAAUUAAAAUACUUCAAAUUCUUUAUGAGGUUACAUUUAACUACAUCCACAAAUUAUAACAAAAAAUCUUUCGGCAAAUUGAAUGGUUUGGGUGGGAAAAUAUUCUUAUGGUGAUUUUCAAUGAUGUUGUACCUUUGGUUAAUUUUGUACCUUUCAAUAAUUUUUAUUUGUUAGUGUGGAAGAGCACUUUUCUGAAAGGAACAUGUCACAGAAAACCCCAGGGAUAGACAUAUUGUAUUAAUUAUUUUUAAAACAAAAAUAAAAGGCUUUUACAUUCAGCAUUUCUAUCUUUAAUGAUUUUUCCCGGUUUAAGAGGUUUCAAAUUAAUUUUGUCACCCAUAAUCCUGUUUCUUUCCCUCCACUUUCAAAUACCUUUGUUUUUUGAUGAGCACAUUUUGGAUGAAUUCCCAGUCAACUUUUUAAUCUAAUUAAAUUCAGAUAAGUUUAACUCAGAUAACAUUUACAGUCAGCUCCUUGAUAGUUGAUUAGCUGGGAGCCCAUCUUUCAGAAUUCUUAAAAAAAAAAAAAGACUUUUGAGGAUUGCUUUUUGUUAAAAGAGCCUAUUACUAAUGCUGAUGUCACUGGCAUCAAUAAACUAACACCCACUUGUCUUGGUUUAAAAUGACAAUAGGCUUUCAAAUGCAAAUAUUCAAAUAUUAUAUCAUUCUUUAGCACUUCUGUAUUUGCUAGUAGCAUUACUUAUCAAAAAGAAUUGUUUUGAAUAUUUUCAUGAGCAAGCAAGCAAACCACAUCACAUCACACACAUGCACACACACACACACACACACACACACACACGCAUGCAUGCAAGGCACAUAAAUGAUUUCACUAAUGACAUAUAGCAUACAUUAGUCAAGCAAUUGUAUUAAUUCAAGUCUACACUCCCUGUAGUCUAGAACAGUCUCCGUCUUUGCUACACAACAGUAGCCACUAAAAUCUUUUGGAAGAUUAGGAUCACUCAAUAUGAAGUUAAAAGAAAACAUGAAAAAAUGAAAGCUUAGUUUUAGGAUUUCCCAUUUUUUUAGCCCUAUAAUAGCCUAAAAUAAAACUUGGGAACAAAUGAGGUUUACCAAUGACAGGAGUAAACAGACUCAAAGUAAGUGUUUACAGGCAAGGCAAGGAAGCUACUUCCUUUCCAUUAACAAAAAGGAGCUUUUAAAUCUUACUCAUUCUUGAUAAUGCUGGCUAAGGAGAAGCCCAGCAAGUUUGCUUUUUCCUUAAAGCUAAAACAAAACUCAACACAAGAGUUGAAAUACAAGGAACCAAAGAAAAUCAUUAAUUUGUUCUUUGAUGACAACUCUAUGCCAGAGUUACAAGGGCAUCUCUACAUUAAUUGUUUUCUUCAUAAGGAAACCACUAUAGAAAUUUAGGUGAAUGAAUAUAAUUAAGUGGUUCUGUGGCUCCAACUGUAACACGUCGUUUUAAAAAAGAAAAAAUCAAACAACCCAACAUUUGCCCAGGAACCAGAGGAGAAAAAUAGCCUUCUAAGAGUUAGGUCCUCAAGAUAUUUCAAAGCUGCCUGGACAAUGACUUGGAAUGACUACAAUGGUGAACCAUUCUGCCUUGGACCCGAAUCUAGAUUUAUGACCUAAUAUAACUUUCCCAACUCUGCCUGCCAUAGUUUUAUGAACAUCAAGAACUGGGUGUCUGCCACUGUCAACAAAUAGAGCUUCUCCAGAGCAUUUUCAUCCACAGAAACUCAAGUAUCCCCAAAAGAACAUAGAUCUCAGUCUUCCAAGGCUGCCUUGGGAUGCCUCAGGAUGCCUCUAGCUUUCACCACAAAUUGUAGGGAAACUGUUUUGGCACAAUAAUUCUUCAAGAAAAGGAAGAGUACCUGUUAAUGCCCUGUGUUUUCUUGGUUUAAGAAUGUUUGGUGAGGCUAGGUCCAGUGGUUCAUGUCUAUAAUCCCACACUUCAGGAGGCCAACACAGGGAAGAUCUCUUAAGGCCGGGAAUUUGAGCCCAGC